rnacentral:lncRNA from 1 species
GGAGGAUGAGGUAGAAUACGUAAUGAUAAAAGGAGGGAAUUGAUUUAAAAAUUUGAUCUUGAUUCUUAAUUUACUAAAUAAAAUAAAAUAAAAUAAUAAAAGUAAUUACGAAAGUAAUUGAUAAUUGUAAAAUUCAAAUAAGCGGAAAAAAAUGCCCUACGGUUUACCAAUGCAACCUUCCUUUUAUUAAUAAAAUUCCUUUUAUUAAUAAGAUUAAUAAAAUGAAAAUAAUAAAAUAAUAAAAGAUACGUAGAUUUGGUGUGGGAGAAAAAUCUAGAUAAUUCCUUGAAAAAAACGUAAUUAGUUUAGAAUUAAAAUAUCAUUAAAAUUAGUUUAAAUGAAAAUUGAAAUAAAAAAAU